rnacentral:rRNA from 1 species
UAGGGAAUCUUCCGCAAUGGACGCAAGUCUGACGGAGCAACGCCGCGUGAGUGAAGAAGGAUUUCGGUUCGUAAAACUCUGUUGUUAGAGAAGAACAGCGCAUAGAGUAACUGUUAUGCGUGUGACGGUAUCUAACCAGAAAGCCACGGCUAACUACGUGCCAGCAGCCGCGGUAAUACGUAGGUGGCAAGCGUUGUCCGGAUUUAUUGGGCGUAAAGCGAGCGCAGGCGGUCAAUUAAGUCUGAUGUGAAAGCCCCCGGCUCAACCGGGGAGGGUCAAUGGAAACUGGUUGACUUGAGUGCAGAAGAGGAGAGUGGAAUUCCAUGUGUAGCGGUGAAAUGCGUAGAUAUAUGGAGGAACACCAGUGGCGAAGGCGACUCUCUGGUCUGUAACUGACGCUGAGGCUCGAAAGCGUGGGUAGCAAACAGG